rnacentral:rRNA from 1 species
UACGUAGGGUGCAAGCGUUAAUCGGAAUUACUGGGCGUAAAGCGUGCGCAGGCGGUUUUGUAAGUCAGAUGUGAAAUCCCCGGGCUUAACCUGGGAACUGCGUUUGAAACUACAAGGCUAGAGUGUGGCAGAGGGGGGUGGAAUUCCACGUGUAGCAGUGAAAUGCGUAGAGAUGUGGAGGAACACCAAUGGCGAAGGCAGCCCCCUGGGUUAACACUGACGCUCAGGCACGAAAGCGUGGGGAGCAAACAGG